GGAGUGCCACCGCCCCGGCCCGUGCUCCCCGCCCGCUGUCCCGGGACGGCCUCCGCCCUCCUCCCCGCCUUCCCGCCCUCCUCGCAGCGCAGCCCCUGCGCCGGCCCGCCCCCGCUCCAGGAGCACCGGCCUGGGACGGGAGAUGGGGCCGUGGGAGGGCACUGUGGGAGUGCUCUUCACGGCUGUGGCUUAGUGUGUGCUAAGGGACCUGCCCACAUGUGGGUUACAGCUGUUGUGAGUCGUUCAGCCAUCGCACACCCUCUGUCUCCGUGGACUGCCAGUCGCAGUGGGAGGCUGCUCUGAGUGGCAUAGUCUGAGAAACUCAACAGAGGAGUCUGCAGCUAUCACUGGGAGGAAGAGGUUUGGAGAACCCAGAGAAGAAAUUGCUGGAAUGACCCUGGUUCUCAGAGGAAAAAUAAACAGGCACAUGACAUUAAUCACAGUCCUUGGGUAUCGUAUUGGAAGUCUCGCAAAUACUUUCGAUGUGGAAAUGUGAACUAGAUGCCAGAAGAGUUCAAAAGUUUAUGAAGACAACCUUGAACAGCUUGCAUCUGUGUGUGUAUAUUUGCAUAAUUGGGCUAAGUUUUCAUUUGAGAGAAAAUAUGGAUCACAUAAAAGGUUCAGAGGUGAUUCAAAGAUCCAGAGUCCCUUCAGCAAGUACUAUCAAACAUGGCCAAAAAUGUUUUCUUUAAGAUAGUUUGCCAAGUUAUUUUCUUUAAGAAUAUAUGAAGCUUCUAUUCUUUCUGCAAAAAAAUAAUAGUAUAUAAAUUGUAUUUACCAGUGUGUCAAAAGUCACCAGUAUAAUUACCAGAGUAGCUAUCUAAUAUAUCUAAGACUUAGCUAGAUAAGAACCCUAAAUAUUUUUCCAUGGUUUUGGCUAUCCUACUUUUGUGUCUGUGCCUAUGGAUAUAUGGUGCACUCCUAACCAAAGACUUUUGCAAAACAUCUUGAUUUUUCAAUAAGGAGUUGCAGUAGAACAACCAAGAAAUUUAAUAACAAGCCAAACUUUGGGAAAUUUAGCUUUUUUUUUCUUCCAGAGCACUGUAGAAAUGUUGUGGUUACAGGCAAAAUGACAUGUACUAGAGAACCCACAGCAGGAAGGACACCGAGAGAUGGAUCUGUUGCUAAAACACAUCAUUAAAUAACUCACAAGGAAUAUAGUAGCUAUUCAGAUUCAUUGCCAAAUUUUCGGGGUUUAAUACUUUAAUUUCAUCAUUGUUAAAUAGGAUCUUUCUUAGCAUUUGUGCUGUAAGAUUUAGAGAAAAACCCCAGAGUUGAACCUACUAGACCACAACAUAUUUGUGGCUGCAGAUUUAUUGUAUUUUGUACUUAGUACUUCAUUGCUGCACUCUUAUUUUCCUUCAUUUCUGUUGCUAGUAUUAAGUACUAAAAAUAAGCUCACAAAAGCUGUAUGUGAUAUGAUAGUAAUAAAAAUCAUAGAAGCAUAGAAUGACUUUAGUUG
rnacentral:lncRNA from 1 species